rnacentral:rRNA from 1 species
UACGUAGGGUGCAAGCGUUAAUCGGAAUUACUGGGCGUAAAGCGUGCGCAGGCGGUCCUGCAAGUCAGGCGUGAAAUCCCCGGGCUUAACCUGGGAAUGGCACUUGAAACUACGGGACUGGAGUAUGGCAGAGGGAGGUGGAAUUCCACGUGUAGCGGUGAAAUGCGUAGAGAUGUGGAGGAACACCGAUGGCGAAGGCAGCCUCCUGGGCCAAUACUGACGCUCAUGCACGAAAGCGUGGGGAGCAAACAGG